CCUACGGGAGGCAGCAGUGGGGAAUAUUGCACAAUGGGGGGAACCCUGAUGCAGCGACGCCGCGUGAGUGAAGAAGUAUUUCGGUAUGUAAAGCUCUAUCAGCAGGGAAGAAAAUGACGGUACCUGACUAAGAAGCCCCGGCUAACUACGUGCCAGCAGCCGCGGUAAUACGUAGGGGGCAAGCGUUAUCCGGAUUUACUGGGUGUAAAGGGAGCGUAGACGGUUAUGCAAGUCUGAAGUGAAAGCCCAAGGCUCAACCAUGGGACUGCUUUGGAAACUGUAAAACUGGAGUGCGGGAGAGGUAGGCGGAAUUCCUAGUGUAGCGGUGAAAUGCGUAGAUAUUAGGAGGAACACCAGUGGCGAAGGCGGCUUGCUGGACUGUAACUGACGUUGAGGCUCGAAGGCGUGGGGAGCGAACAGGAUUAGAUACCCUAGUAGUC
rnacentral:rRNA from 1 species